GAGCUCUGGUAGUAUGGAGUUACCCUUUCUUCUCCUCCUCCUCCUUCCUGAAAGCUGGCCGACUGUCAUCUCAAUUCCACAACCGCACCAAUGGACCAGCUACACUCUUCCGUUGCCCAGAGUUAAUUGAACGCUGAGCAGUGAACUCCUUAGUUAUCAGCUGAAAGGGAUUGGCUGUGCAACCGUGACUAAGGGUAACAACAUCGGUGGUGAACUUUGACUAGACUUGGGGGAUUAGUAUUGAUUAACCACCGCAAGUCCAAAGGGGAAAACCUAGCAAGAACCACAAAGAUUACUUCUAUGUGUGUGUGUGUGUGGUGGUGACCAAGAGAUAUAAAUACUCUGGAAAAGGACACAUCUGCCUUGUUCUUGCCUAACAGCCUGUAGCAAGUCAGAACGCUAACAAUCAGCAUUAAUUACUAGCGGGUUAGGGCAUUCACUGUCGACCGCUCAGACCAGCUGCAGCUAGCAGUUUCAAAUAUUUACAUGCCAGUUGAGAGAAAGAGAGACAAAAAGAGAGAGAGAGAGAGAGAGAGAGAGAAAGACUGACUCACCCAAGUGACAAUGGAGAAGAAGGAGAAGGCCACUACGGCUCGGGCGGCGUCGACAGGGAUGCCUGCUACUUCGGUGGUGUGAGACCACUGAUUGGUCAGGACACAGAAGCAGAUGAACCAGAACAACGUCCACACUCCUGACAGAGGAGGGAAAGUCAAGUUUAUGGGGUUGACUCGUAGUGGAUGUGGACAGCCUUAUGAAGCCGACCCGUAGUGGAUGUGGACAGCCUUAUGAAGCCGACCCGUAGUGGAUGUGGACAGCCUUAUGAAGCCGACCCGUAUUGGAUGUGGACAGCCUUAUGAAGCCGACCCGUAUUGGAUGUG